UGUGAACCAUUCUCUCGAAAUACUUUACUUUAUUUUGAGUUUUGAUGGUUGACAAAUUCCUGCGUAAUUAUAUCCAAGUUUGAAGCUAUCAAGAAGAUCUCCAAGUAUGUGACGCAACUAAGGAGAAUUGGCAAAUGGCAAGAUUAGUUUUAGUAAUUGCUUUAUUGCUGCGGCAUCUUUAUUCUCUGUGUUUUUCUCUUAGGAUGUUUUACACGCAGGGUUAUGCAGGGGUCUGGCACUUUGAUAGAUGCUGCUUCAGGCUUGAAGACUGAAGUACAUGAUAGUGUAUGCUUGCUGCCGAGUGGAAGAUGUAUUUGGGUCACAAUUGUUAAGUACUCAGACAGUAGAUACCCCAACAACUGGAUGAGGUUUUUGAGAUUUUUUUUGUACUGGGUUACAUAGUGGUGUGUGCUUGAUGGGUUGGUGACGGACAAGAGGAACAGAGACGCCGCCGAUUCGCUCGGUCCUCUCGCCGCGUGGCCAAAAGUGAGCUGCGCAUCUGGGCGCUCACCAAGUAGACCACAACCACGUCCUGAAGCUCUUAGAGAUCCUUGCAUCGUGCCAUCUCCAAGAACGACAGACCGUGGCCUCCGACAUGCUGCUGAGGUCGAUGUGGACAAACUCAUGAAUGCAUUGGAAAUACUUUCUGAAACUGAAAAGCAAUUUAAAACCACAAAGAACCAGUCUACAUGGCUUACAUCAGCUUUGUUAGGUACAGCUCAUGAUUUGAAGUACACAUUACAUAUAUGUGCACUUAUAGUUUACACACACUUGGUGGAGUGAGUUGAACAAUGGUGGGAGAUCAUAUAUAAGUGUGAGAAGAACCAAAAAAGGAUUCUUGUGUGCAGCGAGAAAAUAAAUUUAAUAGAGUAGCAUAUUAUUAUUUUUAGAAUAGGAAGAUGGUUAUAGUUUUUAUACACAUAUUUCUUAUAACUAUUUUUAAAAAUACGAUAAAAGAAAUUUGAGAUCCGUGGCAACGCAUGGCAUUUAACUAUCAAUGUAAAAAUGUGGUAGUAGUAUAGACUGUCGAAGCUUCUAUUGUUAUUCUUACUUUUGGCACUAAUUUAUCUUUCCAUCCCUUUGCUUAGAUUGUUUUUCGUUUGACAUACUAUUGAAGACACAAGGAUCAAACCAAACAUCUUGAUGAUAGCGAUAAACACAAGUCUAAGGGUGACAUAGUUUCCAAGAAAAGGUUGAGCAAGAAGUUGGAUGCUAACACAAGCAAACCAGAUCAACCUAGGCAAACCUCUGGAAUUAGAGAAGAAAGGAGAAAUUACCACUCAUGGUAAUCCCUAAGGCCCGAUGAUCGAAGUAUCAUGAGGGGUGCUGGUGAGAGGAAUGUCUAUGAUUUAAGGGGGUAUUUUGCUGGUGGAAGUGGAAGGGGUAGAGAAAGGUUUGACUAACCAUAUAGAGGUAGAGAAAACAUGCACGAGGCUGCUGGGGAUCAAACAAAAAGUGGAAGAAAGACCUUUUAUGAUCAGACAAACAAUACCCCAACCAAUGACAGAAGAAUAGUAGAGAUUUCAAAAGUUGAAGCAUUCUUGGCGCAAUAGCUAUUUUUUGUUUUUGUGUUUGCAUGGAGUUGCUUGUGACGGGUAGACGAUAACUAUGUUUCACAUUGUUGUAUGGACUUGAGUUGUUUGGGACGGCUCGAUCGUCAUGUACUUGUUGUAUAUGGCACACUGAUGUGAUUUGUCGUUCUUUUCUCACAUAGAUGAUGUUAUAUGCUUUU